ACCCGCACAACCGGUGGAGCGUCUGGUUUAAUUCGAUGCUAACCGAAAAACCUCACCAGGGUUUGACAUGCGGUGUGUCGGGUAUGAAGGUACCCUAGGCUAUGAUUAUUCAUAGCCGCGCCGCACAGGUGGUGCAUGGUCGUCGUCAGCUCGUGUCGUGAGAUGUUGGGUUAAGUCCCGCAACGAGCGCAACCCUUGUCCUGUGUUACCAGCGGGUAAAGCCGGGUACUCACAGGAGACUGCCGGCGAUAAGUCGGAGGAAGGAGGGGAUGACGUCAGAUCAGUAUGCCCUUUAUGCCCUGGGCUACACAGGCGCUACAGUGGCAGGGACAAUGGGACGCGACGCAGCAAUGCGGAGCAAAUCCCCUAAACCCUGUCGUGGUGCGGAUUGGGGGUUGCAACUCACCCCCAUGAAGGCGGAAUCGGUAGUAAUGGCGAAUCAGCAAUGUCGCCGUGAAUACGUUCCCGGGUCUUGUACACACCGCCCGUCACGCCAUGGGAGUUGGGUUCAUCGGAAGUCCCCGAGCUAACCGCAAGGAGGCAGGGGCCGAUGAUGGGCCUGAUGACU
rnacentral:rRNA from 1 species